rnacentral:rRNA from 1 species
GAGAAAACCAAGCUGAAAGAUGAUGGCAGCAACUAUACGGACUGGGUCCGGAACCUGAGGAUCAUCCUCAUAGCUGCCAGGAAACAAUAUGUCCUAGAAGGACCGCUAGGUGACGCUCCCGUCCCAGAGAACCAAGACAUUAUGAAUGCUUGGCAAACUCGCGCUGAUGAUUACUCCCUCGUUCAGUGCGGCAUGCUUUACAGCUUAGAACCGGGGCUCCAAAAGCGUUUUGAGCAUCACGGAGCAUAUGAGAUGUUCGAAGAGCUGAAACUAGUUUUCCAAGCUCAUGCCCGGGUCGAGAGAUAUGAUGUCUCCGACAAGUUCUACAGUUGUAAGAUGGAGGAAAACAGUUCUGUCAGUGAGCACAUCCUGAAGAUGUUUGGGUUGCACAACCGUAUGACCCAGCUGAACAUUAACCUCCCAGAUGAGGCGGUCAUUGACAGAAUCCUCCAGUCGCUCCCACCAAGCUACAAGAGCUUUGUGAUGAACUACAACAUGCAGGGGAUGGAAAAGACCAUUCCUGAAGUGUUCUCGAUGUUGAAGUCAGCAGAGGCUGAAAUCAAGAAAGAACAUCAAGUGUUGAUGGUCAAUAAGACCACUAAGUUCAAGAAGGGCAAGGGUAAGAAGAACUUCAAGAAGGACGGCAAGGAGGUUGCCGCGCCUGGUAAGCCAGUUACCGGGAAGAAGUCAAAGAAUGGACCUAAGCCUGAGACUGAGUGCUUUUAUUGC